rnacentral:rRNA from 1 species
GUCAGCUCGUGUCGUGAGAUGUUGGGUUAAGUCCCGCAACGAGCGCAACCCUUAAGCUUAGUUGCCAUCAUUAAGUUGGGCACUCUAAGUUGACUGCCGGUGACAAACCGGAGGAAGGUGGGGAUGACGUCAAAUCAUCAUGCCCCUUAUGAUUUGGGCUACACACGUGCUACAAUGGACAAUACAAAGGGCAGCGAAACCGCGAGGUCAAGCAAAUCCCAUAAAGUUGUUCUCAGUUCGGAUUGUAGUCUGCAACUCGACUACAUGAAGCUGGAAUCGCUAGUAAUCGUAGAUCAGCAUGCUACGGUGAAUACGUUCCCGGGUCUUGUACACACCGCCCGUCACACCACGAGAGUUUGUAACACCCGAAGCCGGUGGAGUAACCUUUUAGGAGCUAGCCGUCGAAGGUGGGACAAAUGAUUGGGGUGAAGUCGUAACAAGGUAGCCGUAUCGGAAGGUGCGGCUGGAUCACCUCCUUU